rnacentral:rRNA from 1 species
GAUCAUGGCUCGGGAUGAACGCUAGCUACAGGCUUAACACAUGCAAGUCGAGGGGCAGCGGGAUUGAAGCUUGCUUCAAUUGCCGGCGACCGGCGCACGGGUGAGUAACGCGUAUCCAACCUUCCGUACACUCAGGGGAUAGCCUUUCGAAAGAAAGAUUAAUACCUGAUGGUAUCUUAAGCACACAUGUAAUUUAAGAUUAAAGAUUUAUCGGUGUACGAUGGGGGUGCGUUCCAUUAGGUAGUAGG